rnacentral:lncRNA from 1 species
GAAGCCCCAGCAAACUCACGGGGACGAGGGCAGGGCAGGGUGCAACGCACCGAGCUGCUUGCCCAGCCUCCUUCUCCUUGCUUGCAGGGUCAGGCUCACGUGCAACAUGAGCAUCCCGAGGUUUGUGCAACGAGGGGGUUUUGCUCCCCGGGGGUUGCCGAUGCAGAGCGAGGGAUGCUGCAGUGCCACGUUCUCCCCAUUGCCCCUACUGGUUUGGGGGCCGUGGGCUGCUGGGAGCACUGGGGGUUCACUGCCCCUUCCUGCAGCCCCCCACGCACAUCCUGGCUCCCUCGUUAGCCUGACCCCUGAUUACACUCCGCAGGCUCCGUAUCGCCGCCGUCGCCCUGGCAACGUGUCGUCUCCACGGCAACCGUGACAACCUUAUGUUCAUUAAUUUAAAAAGGUUCACGGUGUAACAAAUGAAAUAGUUAGGAGCUUGUCAGGGUGUUAAGGAGCAGGGGCUGACAACUCGCCCUCCUGUCAGCGCCCACCGGAGCUGCUGAGCCUCGUGGUCCGGGAGCAUCCCAGCAGCGCUGCAUCCCUGCGCUCUCGCUGGGGAUGCUGGGUUUGGUGCACAGCCAGAGGACACCGAGGUCACCCCUCCCUCCCUCCCUCCUUCCUUCCUUCCCUUCCUCCCUCCCUUCCCCUCCCUCCCUUCCUUCCUCUCCCUCCCUCCUUCCUUUCUCUUCUUCCUCCCUCCUUCCCUUCCUCCCUCCCUUCCUCUACCUCCCUUCCUUCCUCUCCUUCCUUCCUUUCUCCCUCUCCCUUCCUCCUUUUCUCUCCUUCCUCUCUCCCUCUCCCUCCCUCCUCCCUCCUUCCUUCUCUCCUUCCCUCCCUUCCCCUUCCUCCCUCCCUUCCCCUUCCUCCCUCCCUUCCCCUUCCUCCCUUCCUUCCUCUCCUUCCUUCCUUUCUCUCCCUCGCUCCUUCCUUUCUCUUCUUCCUCCCUCCCUCCCUUCCUUCCUCCCUUCCUCUCCUUUCCUCCUCUACUUCCUUCCUUUCUCUCCUUUCUUCCUUCCUUCCUUUCUCCCUCUCCCUUCUUCCCUUUCUCUCCUUCCUCUCUCUCUCCCUCCCUCCUUCCUUUUCUUCCCUCCUUCCCUCCCUUCCUUCUUCCUUCCCUCCAUCCCUCCCUUCCUUCCUCCCUCCCUUUCCCUCCCUCACUCCUUCCUUUCUCUUCUUUCUCCUUCCCUCCCUUCCUUCCUCCCUUCCUCUCCUUCCCUCUUCUCCUUCCUUCCUUUCUCUCCUUUAUUCCUCCCUUCCUCUCUCCCUCUCUUCCUACCUCCCUUCCUCUCCCUUCCUCCCUCUCCCUUCUUCCCUUUCUCUCCUUCCUCUCUCUCUCUCCCUCCCUCCUUCCUCCUUCCUUCCCUCCCUCCCUGCCUUCCUUCCUCCCUCCCUUCCCCUCCCUCCCUUCCUUCCUCUCCUUCCUUCCUUUCUCUCCCUCCCUCCUUCCUUUCUCUUCUUCCUCCCUCCCUCCCUCCCUUCCUCCCUUCCUCUCCUUUCCUCCUCUACUUCCUUCCUUUCUCUCCUUCCUUCCUUCCUUUCUCUCCUUCCUUCCUUUCUCCCUCUCCCUUCUUCCCUUUCUCUCCUUCCUCUCUUCCUCCCUCCCUCCUUCCUUCCCUCCUUCCCUCCCUUCCUUCCUUCCUUCCUUUCUUCCUCCCUUCCUCCCUCUCCCUUCCUCCUUUUCUCUCCUUCCUCUCUCUCUCUCCGUCCCUCCCUCCUCCUUCCUUCCCUCCUUCCCUCCCUUCCUCCCUCCUUCCUCUCCCUCCCUCCUUCCUUUCUCUUCUUCCUCCCUCCCUCCCUUCCUUCCUCCCUUUCUCUCCUUCCCUCUUCACCUUCCUUCCUUUUUCUCCUUUCUUCCUUCCUCCCUUCCUCCCUUCCUCCCUCUCCCUUCCUCCUUCCUUCCCUCCUUCC